AACAGUGGUAGCUCAGUGGUUAAAACAUCAGACUACCAACUGGAAGGUUAUGAGUUCAAAUCCCAGCACUGCCA